rnacentral:rRNA from 1 species
ACUCCUACGGGAGGCAGCAGUGGGGAAUCUUGGACAAUGGGCGCAAGCCUGAUCCAGCCAUGCCGCGUGAGUGAUGAAGGCCCUAGGGUUGUAAAACUCUUUCGUGGGGGACGAUAAUGACGGUACCCCAAGAAGAAGCACCGGCUAACUACGUGCCAGCAGCCGCGGUAAUACGUAGGGUGCGAGCGUUAAUCGGAAUUACUGGGCGUAAAGCGUGCGCAGGCGGUUGUGUAAGACAGGCGUGAAAUCCCCGGGCUCAACCUGGGAACUGCGCUUGUGACUGCACAGCUAGAGUACGGCAGAGGGGGGUGGAAUUCCACGUGUAGCAGUGAAAUGCGUAGAGAUGUGGAGGAACACCGAUGGCGAAGGCAGCCCCCUGGGCCGAUACUGACGCUCAUGCACGAAAGCGUGGGUAGCAAACAGGAUUAGAUACCCUGGUAGUC